rnacentral:lncRNA from 1 species
UUCACCGACUGUCUCUAGAGCAAGUGACAAAGGGCUUGGUGGUUGGUAUUCGAGAUCCAAGUUCGAAUCCUAGUUGAUUCACAUUUCCAGCUAAGUUUAUUUUUAAACGAAAUAAACGAAGCGGGUAGUGUGUUACCUAUCUCUCUCAAAAAAAAUGAUAUAAAUUCAAUUGUAUUUAUAAUAUAAUAUUUUCAAAUAAAAUAAUAUUUAAGUUAAUUAAAAAGAUAUAGAUAAGAGAUGAUGAACAAAAUAAAAAAUUUAUUUUAUCUUUUCAUAAGUUAUUACCAAUUUAGAUAUUUAUAAUAAUUUUUUAAAAUUAAUUUUUUUUAUAUUAAUAUUUUUAGAAGAAUAUUUAUGUAAUUCAAGAUUAGCGAAAGAGUUUAUAUAAACUUAAUCUUAUAUAUAUGUUUUGACUGUACAAAUAGCAUUGAUCCUGUUUAAUAAGAGGGGAAGAAAUCUUUUGUUGAGGGAUUAGAUUAAUCCGUUUUUCUUGUACAGGGGAGGAGGGACAGAGAGGGCUGGUACAGGUGGGUGGGCCGUGGGGGUGGUGGGGCAGGAACUUGGAGAACUCUAAUAAGGGCCCUCGAUUGAGCCAUUCUUUCCCUCUCGUCAAUCCGUCGUCUCUCUCAUCAGGUCAGCUGGCCACUAGAGAAGUAAGAGCGGCAGUAAAUGCGCGCUCAUCCCCUAUCCACCCCUACGGCCCUACUACCCUCUUGGCCUCUUGCUUCCCUUGUCUUUCUCCGUCUUCUUCCUCCCCAGUCCCCACAGGUCCCAGCCCUCCCACAGAAUGCUACAAUUCAGAUCUGGAUGCUGCUUUUUUCCAUUCAUUAGUUCCCUGUGGCCGCCCCAUCUCUCUCUCUCUACUUGCAGGCUCAUUAGUCUCUGCACCACCUACCGCACGAAAGGAGAAAUUAUAAGGAACAAGAAAGUCACAAAUACAACCGGAGCAUAAAGUUUGUGGAUCAGGUGAACCUUCUUCCUCCUCCUCCUUUUCGCUUGUUUUGUGUUGGUUGAAUUUCGAGCGAGUUCAUCCCGCACGUCGCGUUCACAUCUCCGUUUGUGACUCGUAAGCGUAAAGUCCACCACCACUCUGUCUCUCUGCUGGGGACUUCAAGGGCAUAAUGACAAACUCCUCCAAGUUCUUCCAAUUAGACGGCAGACGUCGCCUUUUCGUUACGGUCCAUUCAUUCAUCGUAACGUCGCAUGCAUAUUACGACUGAUUUUUUUUCCCUUUUUUUUUUCCUUCUAAAUAAAUAUUUGGCUCGCUAGUUCAAUCCGCUGCUGCUUCUUCUUCUUAGUAGUAUCCGUUAAAAACAGGGGAGGGGAGGGGAGGAGCAGCAUAUGCGGGACUCUCUUCUCCGCCAGGAGAUUUAGCCUCUAGAUAAGUUGGUUUUUCUUUCUGUUCUCCGCCGCCGCCGCCGCCGCCGCCGUGCCUUGAUCCAAUCGGAAUCGGUUUAUUAGAAGUGGUUGGGGAUAUGGGAAUUCAGUCCUCCGUGGCGACCGUGCUGUGGGUGUGGUCGGCCCUUGCGUGGCAGCGCUUGUGCAGCGGUAGCUAUCAGCGCUACAACAUCUCGCCGGGGUUUCAAGGUUCCCAGAUGGACUGGAUCGACAACGGCGGCAUAUUCCUGCUAUCCAACAGCUCCAAUUUCGGCUUCGGCUUCGUGACCAACAGCCCCGCGGACACCACCGCCUUCCUUCUGGCGGUGAUCCACCAGAGCAGCACCACCAUCGUCUGGACGGCCAACAGGGACUCGCCCGUCGCCCACUCCGACGACUUCGUGUUCGACACGGACGGCAAUGCCUACCUCAGAUCCAGUGGCGCCGCCGUCUGGUCCACCAACACGUCCGGCCAGGGAGCCACUGGCAUGCUGCUCCAGGACUCAGGCAACCUGGUCGUGCUUGGCUCCGCCGGCCCCCUCUGGCAGAGCUUCAGCCAUCCUACCGACACCCUCCUCUCCGGGCAGACCUUCGUUGAGGGGAUGGUGCUGGUCAGCAAGCCCAACGCCCAGAACUUGUCCUAUCAUCUUGGCAUCGUCUCAGGUUCUUCAGGCGGCAGCGACUUGAUGCUCUACGUGGACUUCCGACCCCCGCAGCCUUACUGGUCCAUGCAGCAGGAGAAUAGGAAAAUUGACAAUAAAAUCGGCGGCGACCUGCAUUCCGCGGCACUUGUCUCCAAUUCGUGGAACUUCUACGACCAGAAAGGGUCCCUGCUCUGGCAAUUCGUCAUCGGAGUAGGAGGAGGUGGUGAGAGUGAUGCCAAUGUCACAUGGGCUGGUGUGCUGGGCAAUGACGGAUUUAUUUCCUUCUACAGCCUUCAGAGCGGAGGCCCAAGCAUUCCUUCGUCGAUCAAGAUACCACGGGAUUCUUGCGAUACACCAGAGCCCUGCUCUCCUUAUUAUAUAUGUUACAGCGGCACCCGCUGCCAGUGCCCCGCAGUCCUGAGCUCAGAUCCAAAUUGCAAUCCCAAUAUUGUAUCCCCUUGUAGCUCAAACACAGCAUACACAUUGGCCAGCGUUGAUGAUGGAGUUGGUUAUUUUGCCACUAAUUUUAUCUCGCCCAGUUUCAAGGUGAAUCUAACUGGAUGCAAAGAAGCAUGCAUGGGCAACUGCUCCUGCCUUGCCUUGUUCUUCGAUGACAGCUCCAGAAACUGUUUUCUGUUUGAUCAGAUUGGGAGCUUCCGGCAGCAAUCGGCCAGUAAUAAAAGCACAUACUUGUCUUAUAUCAAGAUAGCGAGCAAUGGGAGUGGAGGUCUCAGCCCUGUGCAGGAUGGAAACGGAAGCAGUGGUGGAAAGCACUUUGUUAUCAUCAUAAUCAUCUGCCUAGUAACUGCAUCAGUUAUAGCAGCUCUCAUCUAUUUUGCUAUCCGAAUUCAUCGGAGAAAGAGGCUACCUGCGGAACCAUCACAAGGUUCCUCAGAAGAAGACAAUUUCUUGGAAAGUAUAUCUGGAAUGCCCAUCCGAUUCAGUUACAGAGAGCUACAAACAGCCACCGACAACUUCUCUGUUAAGCUCGGUCAGGGAGGGUUUGGCUCGGUCUAUCUGGGGAAGCUUCCAGAUGGUACGCAAGUUGCUGUGAAGAAGUUGGAGGGAAUAGGACAGGGGAAGAAAGAGUUCCGUGCCGAAGUGUCUAUCAUUGGAAGCAUCCACCAUAUCCAUCUGGUCAAGCUCCGUGGUUUCUGCGCUGAGGGAACACACAGGCUUCUUGCAUAUGAGUAUAUGGCGAAAGGGUCACUAGAUAGAUGGAUAUUUCAAAACAAUAAUGGCCACGGCCAACUGGACUGGGAUCAGAGGUUUAGUAUUGCUGUGGGAACAGCUAAGGGGUUGGCCUACUUACACGAGGACUGCGAUUCAAAGAUUGUUCACUGUGACAUCAAACCUGAAAAUGUGCUCCUAGACGAUAACUUUCUUUCAAAGGUAUCAGACUUUGGACUCGCUAAGCUGAUGACUAGAGAGCAGAGUCAUGUAUUUACAACACUCAGAGGCACUAGGGGUUACCUUGCACCUGAAUGGAUCACAAGCUAUGCCAUUUCAGAGAAGAGCGAUGUGUACAGCUUUGGUAUGGUCUUGCUUGAGAUAAUUGGGGGAAGGAAAAAUUUCGAUCCUUCGGAGAGUUCUGAGAAAGCCCACUUUCCUUCAUAUGCCUUCAAGAAGCUGGAGGAGGGGAGGCUGAAAGAAAUAUUUGAUGACAGGCUGAAGUAUGAUGACAAGGAUGGGAGAGUGGAGGCCACAAUUAAGGUUGCAUUGUGGUGCAUUCAGGAGGAUUUGUCCUUGAGACCUAGCAUGACGAAAGUAGUCCAAAUGCUUGAAGGCCUGUCAGAUGUGCCCCAACCUCCAAUGUCUUCCCAAGUGGGAUUCCGGCUGUAUGCUAACGUGUUCAAGUCUACGAGUACUGAAGAGGGUACUUCAUCGGGACCGUCGGACUGCAACAGUGAUGCAUUUCUUUCAGCUGUACGAUUAUCAGGACCGAGGUAACCAAAUGCCAUACUUUGUUUGGGCUAGUUAGACAAAGUUAGGUCUUUUGCUUAACAUGUGUAGAUAUCCAAGAAAUAGCAGAGUACAUUGAGAUUUUGCCUGUCUAUUUUCGUAACAAUGCGAUUCAUCUUAUUAUUUCUGGAUUUACGCAGUGAUAGUUUUGAACUUUUAUUGCAGUAUGCUGACCAUCUUUGGAGGUUGAUUUACGCUACUGCAAAUUACUGAAUACAUUGUUACUUAAUAAUUAGUGAAUAUGUUGUUACUAAGUUACUUAAUACAACACACCUGGGUUUUUUUAGAUCCAUCUCCCUGGUGAGCUCUCUCUCUUUCCUUCUAUAAUGACCAUGGAUUAUUCUUCUUGUACAUAACAGUGGAAUGAUGCCACCAUAAUGGCCACUAACAAAUGAAAUUUCACGUCUCUUCUUUUGUACUCUCAGUUGCAGUACUCGCUGUAUCGCACUAGGAUUAAAUAGGAUGACUUUUCCUAUAGCUUAAUAGAUGAUAGAUCAAAAGGCAAAUUCACCAUUAUGAUUUUUUUAUGUUCUGGGCAAACAAGAAGCAAACAACAAAACAGAACUUCACUGCUAAGAAACAGAGAGAUUGUUUUAUAUUGCUGCUUGAUACCACGACGUUUCAACUCUUGUUCUCUUCCAGAUUAGCUAUUCCAACAAAAUCAGAAGAUCCUAAUCAUAUUCAAAGGUAUUAUAUAAGAUGUUUAGUGAAUUCUUAUGAUAUAUGCUUGCAAAUAUGGUAAACUCGGAGCUUCUGUACAGUGUUUAAUUUCUUUCGGGUUGGUCGUUGUUCACGAUUUCAUGUACCAUCCUAAAUAAAUGACACAUUUUUUUCCGCGGAUAUGAGAGAGAGAGAGAGAGAGAGAGAGAGAGCACGUCUGCACAGGGACCAUGUGAGGUUUUUAUCGUUUGCUUUCUUUUUUAAUCUUUUCUUUUGAUUCGAUUGGAUUAUGUAGGAUUGCUCAGGAGAGAACUGAAACUUAACGAGCCAGGACUUAUGUCCUAAAUCUCUGCCAAACUGCAUCCCUGAGUAUUUAAGCCACCCACGUCGACCACACAAAUUAUCAGUCUUCUUGGGCAAUUGGAUUCCUUGUUUAACGCAGUGUACCAUGUUUCCUUCAACCAAUCCGAUCAGAGUGAGAAAUACUAGUUUUAAGGGUUUGAAGAAGCGGUGCUUCUGUUGGUGGAAUUGAUUGUGUUGUGGCGGAGCCCACCAUAAUUCUGGAGGCUGCACCGUCCAACUAUGAACUAUAUAGAUCCCUAAAUCACACGCACGUUUCGUGGACAGUGUAUUUAAUGUGGAUUUAAAGGCAUAUGGCAGUAACAGGUAACUUGAUGGGUUUUCUGAUUCAUAGAUCAUGUUGCAGUCCUAGUCUGCCCAGGCACAUGCGCUCAUUUUUUUUUUCGAUCGAUCGAUCCGAAUUGAAUCUGUUCCUUUUCUUUUCCGAUGGAAAAAAGCCCAUAGACGUUAUUUCUUUAAAACUCAAUAGAAAUGGACUCCAUAUUGGUUUUAUGAUGAGAGCUGUGUCUUUCCCCUUCUCCAGUCCCAGUAAAGAUCAGGAGAGAUUUUGUUGCCAGUUGUUGCUAAUAAAUCUUGACACGGCAGUCUGAAACUGGCAGCCAAUCAAAAUUCACAACUUUGCUGUAUCACUAUAUCCCAAGACUGACCAGCCUAUAGUUCGUGGGAGGGCUAAGAAAAGCCUCCGCAGCGUGCAAAAUAAGCAAGUUUCUUCACGCCGAUAGAAUGCUUGCCAAUACAACCUCCGAAUCAUUUGACACAGACUGUCAGUGCCCAAAACAUUACCAACGCCGAAAAUUGCUCCAAUCUAGGAGGCCAAGAGCAACAUAACAAACCCCGAACUCGCACUAAUUUACUCAAAGCAGCACAACAUUCUUGCCGAGAUGAGCCAAUGACACUUCUUGAAUAGCAUAAAGCAGCUCGGGCAGAAUAAAGACGUUAAACUCAAGAGAAUCAGGUUGAAAUAGAAAUAGAUAAGUUAAAUCUCUUAACAAUGCAGAUAAGAGUAACAUUCAGACAUUAACAUGUAUCAAGAUUUAAUGAUGUAUCCAUAAUUUUAUUUACAAAUUGAAAGUGCAGCUUCGCUUCACACUCGAAAAUUACUAGAACCUCCAAAACUGUAUUAACUGCAGAAGCAGACACUAAAACAACAUGACAUUUUUAUACUAAACUCUUACAUGAAAGUUAUAUUACUCAGCAAAUUUAAGCCCUUUUUCAACAGCAAGUUUUAGACAAAAACUGGGGAAACCACAACAUAGAAGCUAAUAGCUACACAUUGAGUUACAUGAUUAAGUGUAAUCAAGCUAUAUACCACAAUGGCCCACCAAGUUGAAUAAUUAUAUCUAUAUACUAUGUCAAAAAAUUUGAGCAUUCCCCGCUCUUUUGAUAAAGUUUUUCUCAAAAAUACAUAUCAGCCGCACCCUUUCUAGAGGGGUAUUACGCACCCAAUAAGCCAGCCCCUAAACAAGUUCUAGAGCUGGUUGAGUAUGAGGAAUGAAAAUCUAAAUAAAAGCAUGUUCUUCAUGUGUAUCACACUAUCACAUAAUAGUAGUAAAGAUACUCCUGGAAGCAAUAUAGGUCUUCAAGAACUGUGAAGACGUCAUUACCUGCAACAAGUAAAAGAACCAGUUAAGUCUUCAGUUAAAACAGCUAUAAAUGUUUACCAGAAUAAAAAAACUUUUAAGUUCCCUCAAAAAGAAACUUGAAAAGGUAGCAGUUAGCGAAUCAAAGAAACUUGCAAUAUUUUAUUACUAUCACAAUUUAAAGUAAUACAAUAUCUGCUGUACCUGUCCCUUUUUUGAAUUUGCUGGUAAAAUACUACCAAAUAUAACUACUGUACUGUUUAAGACCACUACAGGUAAAAUUCCUGCAAACAUGAUUCUAAUAGGGUCAAAACUAAAGUCACUAUCUUAUUAUCAAGAUCCAAUUAUGCUCCACCUUCAAUCAUAGACAAGCAACGCGGCGAGCAGGGGAAGUGCUAUUUAUAACACUUAGGCCCUGUUUGACAUCACUGGUCGCCUUUAUAACAAAAAAAAAAAAGAAGAGUAAGCCAUGCAAAAACAUAUGGCAGCACCUUUUCUAAGAAUUAUAUUCUCAAUUAUUGCCAAUCUACAGGUACCUUUUGGUGGCAAUUAGUUUGUUUACCCAACAAUUAUGUGAUAUUAAAGUAGCAACUCGCUUCCCACACCAUCCUCCUAUAAAAGGUAACUUUCAGUAAUGACAGACAUGUUUUAUUUCUAAAGUGGAGAGAGUUAAAAGAUUAGUAUCAACAAGGAAAAAGUAGAUGGAAUAGAAGUUCUAAAUCAUGUAUGGCGGAUUUAUUUUGCAAAGCUUGAAGUCAGGUUGAGAAAGAUAUGAGAAAGAUAAACUUCCACCCUUGGAUGGUUCAGGAAUCAGGAUCAACUAAUAAUUGAGCACAAGUGGAACUCAGGGAAGGGGGUUAAGUCAUGUAGCUGUGGUUUCUCUUUAUUUUAUGUGGACUUAUGUCGUUAGAAAGAGAGUAACUUAGAUACACAGGAGCCUAUGGGAAUGAGGGAACAAGAGUUUGGCUGCAACAGAUCCUAUUCAAACAAUUUUCAUAUUGAAUAAACUGAAUGAAGGUCACCCCUAAGAUGAAGAACUAUCUUUCCUUUGAAAGCAGCGAGAAUCUAAUACCCAAGAAGGCAGAAUCUUCAACUCCCUAAACACUAAGUUUUCCUAGUAAGAAUGCUGACUGAAAACUACGUUUCAAGCAUGACUAUGUUGGGUUCCAUAUUUGAUAAUAGAGUUGGUAUAAUAUGGUUGGAUCUUUCAACAAUGGAAUUGCCAUCCCCUUUUUCUCUUUCUUUUCUAACACUGUAAAAACACUCUAAUUUCAUUAAUGGGCUAUUUGAUGAUCCAUUUGUUUCACAUAGAGACUCGGCGUUCAGGGAGAACCAGUCCAAUUGAGUUUCAAAAGGAAAAGAUAAAUUAUAUGGCACAGGUGCUCUGAUCCAAACAUUGAGUCUUGCUUUUUUCUUUUAUAAGACAUCUGACACAAAAGUGUCAUAUGAUUCAACUGGUGCGACUAAAACCAACCUAGUUGACAUAAUCUUUACUGAAACCUAAUCUCUUUCACUUUGAAACCUGCCCAUCUCAACAUUCAUAUUUGAACUACUCAAUGAGCUUAAAUCCCUUCAUUUCCUGCCCUUCAAUGCAUACCAGGCUGUUGUAUCUUAAUGUUUAAGUACCAAAGUUACUGAUCCCUCAUCAAAAUGUCUAAACGUCCUCUACCCUCUGUAAUGCCACAACAUUCUAUAUCUGGUCUUUCUGUAACAAUCCGAGGUACAUUCAUAAUCCAUCUUUUGGAUCUUACCUGGCCCCAAUAUCAACUAUGACAUUAUAACAAUCCUAAUUUAUAACAGGAUCUUAUUUCAUAUAUUUCAACAUGCUACUGAUUUUCCCCACAAAAAAAAAAAAAAGCCAUCGAUGGGCUUACAUUAACUUGAAUCAAAUGUUUUCACAAGAGAUUUUCUCAAAAAAAAAAGUUUUCACGAGAGACUAAAUAUCUAGGAUGAAGCUUAAGAAAACACUUCAGAACCAAUCACUUGCAUGACAAAAGUAAAUAAAUAAGACACAUUUAAAAGUUGAAAACAUACAGAGAUAAUAGCCAUAUAUCAGGCACAAAACUAUGUAAAAUGUAACACACGAAUAAUAUUUAAGAAGUUGUGCUGUAGCAAAGGCAAAAUUCAAAACUCAUAUAUUUUAAGGAAUGUAAUCUGACUAAAAUUUAUAGUUACCUGGUAGAUCGACAUCCGGUAUUGAAGAUAACCUGAUGUAUCUUAUUCUUAUUAGUUACAAGAGCAUUAGACAGAAAAUUUGCUACUGUAAUCUCUACUUCAUAUCCUGAAGACAAAAUCUAAUCAUAUAAAUAAAGGAUCACCUACUCUAUUAGCAACUCUGUACUUGGCCUUGUCAUCAUGAACUCUACAGUCAACCAUGUCAAUAAUGGUGGCUACCAAGCAAAGGUAGCACCUACUCGCUAAUCAAGAGAAAGACUCUUCUUCAUGGUUUCAUAAACUAGAUAUGUAAUACUAGCAGAUGGCACCACUUUGAGAAGGUUUGGAAAUAUUCCUUUGUAGAAUCCAGAAAAACCCUCAUGCUGAAGGGUCCUCCAGAAUACAUCAGACAUCCCUUUAUAAGCAGUUUUUGAAUUAGCUUGUUGAGCUUGCAAUCUGCAAUUGUGUGUAAACCAUUACACAAAGUCAAAAAGUGAAAAAGAAAAAAAGAAACUACUAGAUAUUCAAUUUUAAAAAAAGGAACUUCAUAUAAGUAGAUAGAAUAAACUGACCUCGUUCUUAUAACCUGCAAGGGAUAAACACAUGUUGCUCCAAGAGCUCCGGAGAUGGUUCCACAACCCAGUUGCACAAGUGGACCAGGUUCUGCAUGACAUGCAAUUGAGUGUUAUACUCAAUUUCAGUAAAGAGAAUUAAAAAAGGGAAUAGAAAUCCGCGACAAUAUUGUAACAAAAGGAGCAGAAAUAGAAUAACAACUUACCGCUGUCUUGGAGAACAUAUGUCUUAGACAUAUCUUUCAAGGUCUCAUAUGCUGCAAGAUCAAUACCUGCAUAAGGAAUAAUUCCAAGAAGAGAAGGUACAAGACCUCUGUAGAAAGCUCGAGGCCCUUCCUGCCUCCAAAUGUCUCUCGACAGGGUACCAAGGCUAGGAACUUUUCCGCCUUCACAUGCAUAAGUUUGCAGUCGUGUUUUAACAAGAUCCAUCGGAUAAAUUGCAGUUUGUGCCACUGCACCAGCCAACCCGCCAGCAAUGAGGCGUCCAGAAGCACCAAUAUCACCUUUAUUCUCCCCUUUAGUUUUGACAAUAAAUUCUUUUAACAUUUCAUAAGUGUAAAAUCUAAUUGCACUUUCCGGUGCAACUUUCAUCACAUUUAAUCCAUUUCCCCUGAAAAAUGACAAGAAACGUCCCUCCCUCCAUAUGUUCUUGAUUGCUGGUAUAAUCUGGGUGCUUGUAGUUUGUACUUGCAUAACCACUUUAAGACGAUCAAGAGGAGCAGUGGCUGUACGAGAAGUCGCUCCAGCAACUCCUCCUGCGAUCAAAUACUUGCUAGCACUUACAUGCUUGCUUAUACCUUCUGGGAUUGCAGCCUGUUCCCCUAUAUCUACGAGACAAACUCUUUCCCAGUACUGGUAGAUGUUUUCAAUAGUUGCUUCAUGGGGGUAAAGUAGAAGAAAAUCUCUCCAUUCUUCAAAAGUUAUAAUUCCAUUGUUAUCCUUAUCCACAUGCUCUACAAAACGGGCAAGCUCUUCAUCAUCAAUUUCUAUUCCUGCAAAAGGGAAACUGACCAGGAUUAUUAGACCGAAGUACAUGCAUUAAGACAACAAUUGACACCGGAAAACUUCUGGCUUAUUUGAUGGUUGUGAAUAAAGUACGGGGAUCUUGUCAUAAAAUUGAGAAAAAAAAGGAGAGUGAAAAGAUUAUGACAGAUUGGCAGUAUCUAGUGAAGUGAAUAAAGUUGAACCUGAGACAAGAAGGCCUAAAUGUGAUGACAACCGAGGUUCCGCUGAGGCAAAAACUGGACAACUUUCCUACAAUUUGAGUAUCAACAACCAGUGACACUUAUAUCUCAUACAUAUAGGUGUGUGCAUGUUGUUGACCCUCCAUAUUUUCAACAUUUGUAUUUCCAAACUCGGAAUCAAAUAUAACCGCCCAACAUGUGAAUUUCCAAACACAGAAACACACCUACCUGUCAUAACAAAAUAGAGCAAGAAGACAACAUAUUGUAGAGAUACUUGCCAGAAUGUUUCAAACCUCAUUAACCUAUCACACCGUCAUAUCAUUUGGCAUUUUGGCUAGAUCACUUGAUUAGUCCUCCGCAAAGCAGUGAAACAUGGUUCACAAUAGGACGUACAAACCAGGCAAGAGUAACAAUCUCAUAUAGCUUUGUAUUGUUUUUAAACAGCAUAACCACACUUGCUAUAAACGGUUUUAUCAAUUCUCUCCUUCGAACUGAAAAGGAGCUUACUAUAGUACUUUGCUCCCCAGACUCUCUAAUCAAGACAACAACAGUGUCUCUCAGUCUGCACCUGUGUGGCACACUUAGGUUGCAACAGGUAACUUUCAGUGAGAUUGUAAUCGUUGCAUGUAUUGCCUGCUUUGCAACAUACUUCUGUAUAGAACCGAUUGCGUACCACUGCAUUACAUCACCCUACAUUCAUCCUACACUCAUUGUAUGCUACUUUGGCACAUGUCAAGCAAUACAUUUUCCGACAAAGCUUGCCCUGUAAUUGGACUUCUGGCACCCAUCUACUUAUGAUGAACCCACCAAAGUGCAAUGUAAUACUGCAGUGCGAUUAACAAAAGUAGUAUCUGAAAAUGGCUUGUGAGGUUACAUCGUAUUAGAAAAUACACUAUAAAAUUCUACAAAUUAACAAAUCAAGACAGUUUGCAUGACUUGAGAAUAAUGUCAUUAUGUGGUCAUUAAAUAAAAGCUUAAAGCAUCUUACAUCUUAGAGUUUAUGAUUUAUCUUAGUAAACAAUGUGCCGAAACUGUAAAAUUAGAAAUACAGCCCCAGUGCUCAAACAGCACUCCAAAGUGGGCAUCUUGAUAGCACUAUUAGAAAGGGUACUUAUUCAACAGCCCUUGAGAAUCUAUUAAUUAAAGGUAUACGAAUUCUCGACUAUCCAGCAAGGGCGAGAAAAUACAGACUCAGAACCUCACAUAAGGUGAAGCCUCAAGAGCACUGAUUUCAAAAUCUGGGGGAGCAAAUUGAUAGAUUUUUGCGAGCACCUGAUAUAGUUACCACUAUGCUAGCUCGCGCCUUACGUCCCAACAGUCAGUUAUGGCUCGAAUAAUGCGGUAAGUUACGUUGGCGAGAAGACAUGAGGUAGCACAAACACAGGUUUACCUGCCUUGACGAGUGCGUCCCAGAGCUCCUCAGGCAGGAUGCAGCCAUUGUGCUCAACGUCGAUAGCCUGGAAGAUGCGGUAGAGCUCGAGUUCCUUGUCAUCCAUGUAGCGGCGGAACUCGUGGUAAUCGACGCGGCCGUCGCGGUUGGCGUCGCAGACCUUGAGGAGGUCCCUGGCGUACUUGUACUCUGCAGGGAUCUGAAGAGCAGAGAGGCCGGUCUCGAUCUGGGUGUAGUCGAGGUGGCCGAGGCCGGCGGCGUCGAAGAAGUUGAAGAGGCUGCGGAUGCGGAGCUCGCGCUCCUCCUGGGUCUCGCGAAGGGCGAGGAGGACGUGGUCCAUCGAGACGGGGCCAGGUUUCUUCACGGGGUUGCAGCCCACGGGCCGGCCCUGCUGCUCGCUGCCGUCGGGGCCGGCCUUCGCAUCCAUCUUGGCAUGCGCGGGGAAGCCGACGCCGCGCUGUUCCACCGCCUGGGCCGCAGCACCGGAGGACAUCCCUCCGCUCUGCUCUGUCUCUCUGUCUCUCAGGCCGAUCCCGAUUCCCAAAUCAAUCCAACGAGCAGAGCAUCAUCAUCGGCUCCAAAGGAAAUUAGUGUAGGAGACCAUCCGACAGAAGAAGAAGGAGGAGGAGGAGGAGGAGGUUGGCUUUUUCUCCUUCCCCUUCUCCUUAUUAUCCGCUAUCCCCCUACCCCUUUUUUUUUUUUUUGCCCUCUCCUCUUCUUGGAAAGGAGGAAAAGAAUAAAAACGCAAUGAAGAUGAAGAUGGACACCGAAAUAAAAAGAUCCAAAUAUUUNUUGCCCUCUCCUCUUUUUUCACUUUUCUAGGGCUUUCAGACCGACGAGUAUAAUGCCGCUGUACGGGAGAGGGGAGGGGGAGCGAGGCGGCGAAUUUACCAGAGCGCCGAAGGAAGAGGCUGGGGAGAGCUGACGAAGCAAGAAGAAGAGACUAUCGGGGUGAGGCGGGGCGUCUUUCACCGGAGGUGCGAGGAAGAGCAGGGGCCGGCCGAUCCUUAAUUAUGCUUCUCUUCUCUGCGGGGAAUAAAUAAAUGUAUAUGUAUAUAUUUAUUGAAUUAGCAGCAGCAACAACCGGCGGAGUGUUGGACGGGUAAGGUGGGGAAGAGAUGAGACGACCGGGUUGGAGCUUGGAAGUGGGAGGCGGAAGACGAUGAAUUAUAUAUUUAUUCUAAUCUAUUCGAUUCGAUGGGAAGUUGGAAAAUACCGCGACGAUGAAUAUGGAUAUUAAUUUUUUUCUUUUUUCCUUUUGGCUCUAGGGGAAGCAGGGGAGGGGAGGCUUGGGAAACCACCGCAUAUUCCCCUCCGGUAUGCGCUGUGGCGUGAAUAAUAUGCUCCACCCAGCUGCACCAAGUUAGCAUAAAGAGGAUUAUGCGUUUUCUUUCCUGAUAAAAUAUUGGAAAAACUUCAAAAAACCCUCCGUGGUUUCACAGUUUCUCAUUUUAGUACCGUGUAAUUUAAAGUGUAUUAAUUUGGUGCCAUGUGGCUUCAUUUUUAUCUUUUCGGCAGCUUUUUCGUUAAUAUUUCGUUGAAUUAUAUGCAAAAAAUUUAAGAUACCUACCUAGGUUUAUUGAAUAUUCACGUUAGUACCCUUUAAUUUUAAUUUUGUCACUGAUUUAAGAAAAAAAAUAGUAAAAUUGAUAAUAAAAAAUUAAAAAUGAAACCAUUUGGCAUCAAAUUGAUACACUUUAAACUAUAGGGUACUAAAGUGAGAAAGUGCGAAACCACAUGAAAUUUUUUUGAAGUUUUUUCUAAAAUAUUACUUGUUGAAACCACAUGGGAUAUUUUUGAAGUUUUUCCUAAAAUAUUACUUGUUGUCUGGUUGAAGAAAAAAAAAAAGUAAAAUGCUAUCUGUACUUUUUUUUUUUUUAAAAAAGUAAAUUUUAUGCUCCAUUCCAAAAUAUAAAUUUUUAAAAUUUUUGUUAUUCUACAAAAAUUAAUAAGAAAUAAUUAAAUAUUAAUUUUUGAAAGAUUAAAAUAUAUAAUAUUUACACCUUAUAUACGGGUGUACAGAGAGCAUUGCAUAGCCAACACACACACACACACACAAAAAAAAAAGAAAAAAAAAAGAAAAAUCAAAGGCCAGCAUAGCAUAGCAUAGCAUGUGUUGCCUGCAAGCAUCGCACGCACUGUACAGUCUGUACUGUGCGCUUCAAUCUUUGUCUACUGUAUUGAUUUGGCAAUUUUUAAGAGCAAUCUUCUAAUUAAUUUAAACUUAUAAAUAAAAUUAAAUCAAAUCAUGACGUAUAUUAAAAUUAAAUUGUUUUCUUCAAAAAUAUAUUGAAAGAUUAUAUUUAAAUGUUAAAGAUAUUUUAAGUUACAUCCCUAUUAAUUUGAAAAAAUAUCAAAAUAGUUUAACUACAGUUUGACUUAAUAGGUCGUCUUAUAUUCAAAUAUUAGCGUCAUCCAACGUUUUAUCAAUACAAAAUCUCAACUUAACCUAAAUAUUAUUUAAUUAAGUAUCUGAGGUUUAAGCAUUAUUCGAUCCAUUGCAUUAAGUUUUCAGCUGGUAGUUGUUAGAAGUUGGAAGAGGCGGAGGCAGAACUUGCGACCGAAGUUCAACGGCGCGGCAGAAAUCCAUCCUGUUUAAAUCCUACUCUUGUACAGAUGUUCAAAACAGCACACGGUAAUAUUAAUUAAUUAAUUAUUAUUGAACAAUUAAGGGAGCAGAAGAGCGGCAUGUUCGGAGAAUUUUCCAGGUCGAUCGUAACUCGUAAGCGACCUGUCGACAAGCUCGUAUGAGGGCUAAUCGUAGAUCGUCAUCCUGAUGCCAACAGACUCUGCAAAAGCCCCUUGGGAACGUUGGUCCAAGUCAACACCAUGAAAUGAAAUACCAUAAACUACUGGAAUUUGCUGUGAUCUGGACAAUACUGGACCAGAAUACCAUAUAAUAAUAAGACCAAAUCACUAUCCUGUUUUUCUCAGAUUUGACGAGGCAAAGUGUCAUCUUCUUUCACCACCGCACCCUUCUCUCUCUUGUCUGUGCGCCUACGGUUUUGAACACGGCUUGGUGGAGUAGUUUUUCUAACGUGUUCAGAUAGUUUUAAUUGAUGAGUUGUACAAUUAAGACCACUUUCCAAUUUUAUAAAUUUAUUUCAAUCAAAAAAAUUUUUAUCCAAAUUUUAACAUCGUAUUUGUAGAUAAAAAUUUUAGAGAAGAACCACAGGGGAGAGCAGUGGGGUGUGGCCGUGUGGGUCGGUUUUCUCGAGUAGGGAUCUUAGUUAAAAUAGCGUGCAAAUUAUAAUGCUUCUUGGAAUUAAAAUCUAUAUAUUAAAAAUUCUAAUUUUGUCCUUUAACCUUAUUAUAUUCGGUUAAAUACGUCUCGUUGGAAUUUAAUACUAUUUUUAAUUUUCUAAAUAUAAAAUUUCUGUAACUAAAAAAAUUAUUAUUGGACCAAAUAUAAAAUGUCAAGUAACUAUGUCAAAAUCAACUUUUUUGAUUUAUUCGAUGUCCCAAGUUCGAAUUCUAAUGAUUCACAUUUUCAGUUAAGUUUAUUUUUAAAUAAAAUAAAGAAAACGGAUAGCAUGUUACCUAUCUAUCAAAAUAAAAAAAAAAAUCAAGUUCAUUAAGCUUUUAAUAAAUUUUUUUUUAAAGAUAGGUAAUAUGCUAUCUGCUUCGUUUAUUUUAUUUAGAAAUAAAUUUAACUAGAAAAGUGAAUCAACUAGAAUUCGAAUUUGUAACUUCGGAUAUCAACCACCGGUCCCUUUGCCACAUGCGCUAGGUAUAGUGGGUAGCUUUUAACAAAAGUAGAUAAAAUUUUCUAGAAGUCCAAAAUAACUCAAAACGCCAGGUGAGAGAAUCAAAAUAUUUACACAAAAGAAAAAUAGAUACUGUUGAUAGAAACUUUUUUGCUGUAUAAAUUUUUCUGAGGAGAAGAUUUGCUCUCCUUGUUCCGCACGACAAAUGCCUGGUUCAGAUAGCAGAUGUACACCGUCCCUAGUGCAAGUGGCAAAGGACUUGAUGGUUGGUAUCCGAGACCCAAGUUCGAAUCCUAGUUGAUUCACAUUUUCAACUAAAUUUAUUUCUAAAUGAAAUAAAUUAUUUCUAAAUAAAAUAAACGAAGCGGGUAGCAUGCUACCUUUCUCUCUCAAAAAAAAAAAAGACAGAAGGAUUUUUUUUUUCUUUGUUGAGGAAACAGAAGAAAAAAUUUAACGUCAGGUAUUCAUUACUUAUAUGAUUUGUACUAUAAUAAAGAAACUUAUUUUACCGGUUAUUCUUAUUGCAAGUGAUAUUAGAUUUAACGGUUGUUAGGUUUCAAGUUUGAAGUCUAAAAUUAUUUUUGAAAAAAAUAAAUGAAAAGAGCAGGAUGCUACUAUUCUCUAAAUAUAAAUAAAUAAAUAUUUUGCUAUUCAUAAAACCAUCUUGUACUCUUUUCAUUCGAUGUUACUUAUGUUUCCUUACUACCUACUCCCUUCGGAGACUCUUACCAUACAUUUCUUCGCUUGAUAAUUACUUGUGGUGUGAACGGAGUUGCGGAGAAGAGAAAAAUGGCCAAAGCUUUCAAAGUAGUAUCGCUUUUGCCUGCCUUUUCUAAGCCUUGGAUGUUUUAUUCUAGCUCUAUAUUUCGGAACAUUGACCAUUUUGAGCUUUGUUUUAAAUCUUUCCUACUAGUCCUAGUCGAGGAAAUUUUGGUCCUCACCAAAUUUAGCCUGAAACUGUUUAAUUACACCUGCUAGCUGUACAGGCCAGAUACUAGAAAUGAUCUUAAAUAGUGAAUACUUGUAUGGAGCUUGGCUUGAUGAUACAUGCCGGACAAAAGAAAGAAUAGCUUAAAAGCUGUCAAGUCACAAGUGCCUCUGCCCGUUGCCCGGCAAGAGCCUGUUUCAGGAAUGAUCUUGUAAAUUAACAUUCUCCAGUGCGUCCAAGCAUUUCCUGAGACAAUCCAAUGUGCUGAAAAUUUUGCAGAGCGUCCAGGGGGGUAUCAUGCUCAGAAAGAACGUAAAUGGGAAGUGAGGAUGGACAACCAAUGCUUCGGCAGGAAGGUAUUCCAGGGCAUAUCCAACAAACCGCAAAAGUGAUGCGGCAAGGUAAUUGUAUAUGCGAUAAACGGUGACAAAUGACAAUUCUGAUAGAAUUCUCUUCCAAAACAGAGGAAAAGAGAGAAAGAGGAAAAGAAAAGAAAAGAAAAAACGAUCGGACAUAAUUAGCACCACCUUCAGAAAUCGCAAAGUAUCAACCUUGGUCUUGACAAGCUGCAAGAAAAUGUCAACUACGAGCAACCUCCCAACUCUCUCCUUAACCACAAAGAAUUAUUACCGAACACAAUACUCCUAUUGUUAAAAAAGGGAGAAAUGAAAAGUUAAAACAAGAAACAAGAGCAACCGAAGAGGACUUAUACUACGUGGUGAGGAUAGGGGGAAGGUAAUCAGACUUGGUGCCAAGCACCCGUGCCUGGGUGUCGGGGAAGAACUCCAUCCCUGGCAACUCCGUUACCACACCUUCAUUAGUGACUGCAAUGGGGUAUUUGAGCAGAUGGCCAGGUAGGUCUUGAUCGAGAUUAUCGCUCGAGAAGAGGUCCCAGUACUUCUCAGCAAUCUUGUUGACCUUCUGCACACAUUCCGAGCUCUCUGGGUUUAGGAAGACAUCAUCUAGCAUCCCAAGGUGCUCGUACCACAGAGCCAUGCGGAAACCAUGGAUUUGUCCUCUUGCCGGCUGCCUGGUUGCCAAAUAGUAUGGCUGAUAUGCACCCAUUGCAAUCUCCGAGUCCCUGGCUCCGUCCAUUGACCUCUGAUUGAUAUUUGCUGACCCAAUGAUGAUGUACUCAUCGUCAACUGAAACCAAACAAAAUAGCUUGAAAUUAGUUCGGCUUCCAAAUUAUUGCAGGGUAGCUUGCACUCUUGCGCCAGGAUUUGACCAUAAUAAUUCCUGUAGUAAGCACUUAAACGUUAACAAUAUUGGGUGCUACCGAUCGAUGAACAAUAUUGGGUGCUACCGAUCGAUGAAACCAAAAUGAAAACUCAGAAUCAAAGUACUUGUGCAAUAAUGAAAGACCAAAACUGAGUAGCUCAUUCAGGAAAGGGCAGGACAAAGACUGCAAGAAUUAGUACAAAGGACUGAUGACGAUGCAAUACAUAUAAUAUUGAAAUAUGCUGUAAAAGAAAAAAAAAAUAUUUGAAGGAAAUGAAAUUGGAAUGAUUUCAACUCAAAAUGGGAACGACCAGUUAUAUUAGUUUCUUAGGCUCAUAACCACGAUAGAAAUUGGGGUGAACAAUUAGCUUUCCACUCUGGAAUGAGACUUCACUCCGGGCUGGGCCAAAUUCAAACUUGGAAGGAUUUAACAAUUCUAAUUCCACCUUGCAAUGGGAAUCAGAAUGAAAAUUCCUACAACUAAACGGCCAAAAUGAGAGAGAAUCAUUUCAAUUCUUAUCCCAAGUUCACAACUUCCCAACCAAACAUGCCAUAGGAAAAACAGCACAUCUCACAGCUUAAAUAGAUGUCUCUAUUACCUCUGAAACAACCUUACCAUCUAUUUGUUUUCAUCUUAAAAGCAGAGUAGAUUCCAAAAUUGAUUUAAAAUUCACGUACUCCAGGUAACAGAUUAAGCGAUCUAUAUGAAUGAUAAGUAGAUUUUGAGCAUCUUAAGACAAGCAAAGUAGCUACCAGUACAUCAUUUAAUUUGAUUAUAAACUUUAACUACCUGACUCAAUGUGAGAAUCAUUAAGGAGAACUGAACUAUAACAGAAAAGGCAGAAGAGUACAAGAAAAAGAUAACAGUUAUUACAUCUGUAAAAUAUUCAAAUAAAGCAAAACAAUGAUGACUCUCACUUUACGUAGAAUUUCCACGCUAGGAAGAAUUGCUCAACUUGUGCUUUAUUGAUUAAUUUAUAAUAAUGAAAGGACCUAUUGUAUAAUCUUUACCUUUUGGAUGUAGAAGUCCUGUAAGGGGCAAACCUCCUAUAUUUUAGACUCUCUAUAUGAUCAAAAGAAGCUUGCAGGAAAGUCAAGAUUGCGGAUUGCCAACAUUUAAUGCAUACAUAUUUGAAAAGUUCUAGAAACUAAUUCAACCAACGGAGAAUGUGAAAGUGCUUUCAGUGAGUAGUAAACUUAGAAGAUGAACUCUGGAGUAGAAGUGCUGCAAAACUAAAAGAAUAUUAGAGAUGCAUUUCUGCACUAAUGAAUACCUAUCAUCAUCUUGGUAUGAACGUAGAUCAUGAACCUCCUUGCCUGUUGAGCCUUGCUAUAAUCAGUUUCUGGUUCCGGUUGCUCCUCAGGUUCAUAUUCACCACUCCUCUUCAGCUCCCGGUUGCCCAAGCAAAAGAAGGUGAGGUAGUCCUUGGGGUUUGCCUCAAUCCCCUUAGCUUGUAGUGCAUGUAUAAUGUCAGUGUACAUCACCUCCAUUGUCCUACGCUGCCAAUCAAGAAUCGCCUGUACAGAUCCACUUUCGGGAACACCCUCUGGCCACAUGGGGACAACAACAUAAAUAGUAAAUCGUUCCCCAGCUUCAAUCUUGCUAACAACCUUCAAAGUGAGCUCCUUAGGGAUCAGAUGUAGUGCCCCGAUUUCUUCGGGCUUGAUGUCAUCUGCUUUCCAUCCGAAUGAACUCCCAAGGAAGUACUGGUUUUCAAUAUAGAUGAAGUUCUUUGCCCUGCGGAUGGCAUUUAUAUAAGCAUCAUGAAUGCUUCUGUCGAUGAUGUUGUCCUUUCCACUCACAAGCCCAGCCCUUGCGGCAUCCUCUGGCGUCUCAGGGAAGCCAAAGGCAGCACCACCAUCAAUGGAACGAAAAAGCUGAACAUUCCAUGUCUCUUUGUCCUCAGGGAACAUCACUGGUGAUGGGGGGAUAAUGAUGUCCGAGAGGUCUCUUAACUCUAAAAGGAGAUCCUUCCCACCUUGCUUUCUCCACCGCUGCUCAAAGUUGAAGAGAACAUCCCAAGCAACAGGCCCUUGCAGCUGUGAGUGGAUGUCAUGCCAUGGCUCUCUCGGACCGCCCUUCGUAAUUGAUGCUUCCGCAAAGUUUGGCUGAUGGAAGUCAUCAUGAUGAGCCGUGUCCAGAGUCCUGAACAGAGAAUGGAAUUGUGUGUCGUAUCUGCCAUCACAAAGGUCAAUUCCACCAACAAAGCUGACAAUCCUUCUUUGUUGAGAACUUCUGUUAGGCAUCUCAUGAUCAACAACCACAAUUUUCUGAUGGUGGGUGAACAUGGUCGAAAUCUGUAGGUCCUGAACAAAGCUGCCUCCGUCAUCAGGGUUUCGAGGACAAAGAACACAGUGUACGUCUGUUCCCUCAAAGUAAUUUGCAGUUUCUUCGUCGUGAGUGGCCAUCAGGCCAUCUUUCUUUAGUAAACCAACUGAAGUCCUAUCGUCCCACACAAGCAUAAGGACCCGAACACCUUCACUAGCCUUCCUCUUGAGCAGCUCACCAAGAGUGACAUCUCCUCCGGGCUUUUGCCGCUUAGAGUCCCUAACCAAGGUGAUCUCAGUGUACACCGACCAACCGGUAAUGUAAAUCAAGUGUUGGGCAUUACUAAUUGCGUCAAAGAUGUCCUCCCAACAUCUAUGAGGCUCAUAGUACUCGCCAUUAGCAAGCGGAAUUUUCGGAAUGAACUUGUCAGGGACGUGUGCGUCUUGGUAUAAUGUAACUCUGCAUCCCUUUCUCUGUGAGAAAAAGGUAUAAGGAACACCUGGGUAUUUCGCACUUCGUACACCCCUUGCCCAAUUACGAUCUUUGGUAAUAUUGAAAUAUUGAAGUUUCACAUGGAUCUUAGCCCCUCCAUCGAGAGGACUGCGGUCCUCAUCGCAGAUAUCAAGCCAUCUAUCCACUUCCUCCCCAUCUAGAACCUCUUGAACAGACAAAUAAGCUCUUCCAAUGAGCGAUGCCCCUAUCGGAUUAUCAGUCUUAACAGUAAAGAUGACAUUGGCAGCCAUAUGGGCACAGUAGAUGUGAAAGGACUCAUACCAACGUGGGUUCACAGGUUCAUCCGCUAUCAUUCUGGUCCGACCAACUCGGGCCUUCUCUAAGUCGAUAGUCGCAUACAGUUUGGUGGAACCUUUGCCAAGACCCACGGUGUCCUCGAUUCCUUCAACAAGCUGGUGCAGGAGGAUUAAAGAUGUUAAGCAAGUUAAACAGCCUAAAAUGAAUCCUAGUUCAGGCAAGUUCCAUGCAUUUUUACCAAAAAAUAAUUUGAGAUAAAACCAAUUAUUGCACUCCUGAAAGCUGCAAACAUUUCUCUAACAUAUGUGUUAAAAUUACAAAAUCAAACACGAGAAAGACGAACAGUGAAAGUUUUUUUUUGAUUAAACAGGGUUGUACCCUAUUUGAUAACAGACGGAGUAGAAGAAGGGGUCAAAAGGGCGAAAGCCACACAGGUGAAAGAUCACAAGAGCAAAAGAAGAAAAGACAACAUCUAAGUUACUGAGCCGGCCAAAACAGAUCUCCAAAGGCGAGCCGUUUCAAUGAUACAUCUUCCCAGGACGUCGCUACGAAGUAGGCGAUUGUCGAAAAUUCUCCUGUUCCGCAACUGCCUAAAAUGUUUACAUGGAUGCCGAUGUAACGGAUUGAUCUCGUGUAAACUUGGGAUUAGGCUAAGAUACAAAAAGACUAGUAGAGAUGCCAAAUAUCAGGACAGGCAAGCACGAGAUAAUGCAAUUCUGAUACCUUGCGGAAGAACUUUGGAGCAUCGCCAGUAGCCCUAUGAGGAUCGGAGAGGGCGUCGGCCUCAAAGAUAGUUGCAUGAAGCGUGCCAUGGAGCAGAAUCUGUGCCAUCGCUUACCUAUAUAUAUUAUUUUUCGUAAUUAGAGGAGGGUACGUAGGGUGCAAGACUUCAUAUAAAGAAAUUUGGAAAGGGGACAAUAAUGUAUCUAAAACUCAGAUGAGGACAAAUUCUUCCACCCAAUCUUAACUUAUACUGUAAUAAGAGAAAAAAAAAAAAAAAAGAAAAGAAAAAAGAAAAAGAGGAAAAAAAAGGUCCGAUAACCACUAAAUUUCUCAAUUAAGAUCACAUAGAGAAGGGUCGUGGCGCCUAUGGCAAUGCAGUUAACUUGAAUGAGCAGCAGUUCACGGUAUAAAGAGAUUAGCAGAGAAGAUGAAAAGAAUUAGAAAAGAAAAAAAGAGAAGAAAAAAACAGUUUAAGUGUACAGCAAUGAGCAAGUUCUAACAAGCUCUAUAUAUUGUAUCAUCAUGGAACCUCGAGACAGAGUUAGAAAGUUAAAACUUUUGGGGGAAGAAUAUGCAUAACGAACGGAUCAUAAUGCAGCCGCAAACUUGAAAGGAGACCCAAAAAGAAAAAAAGGCGCGAGGGGUUUGAUGUCGUGGGCAGCGGAGGAGCGGUCUGAGGUGAAUCAGGUGAUCGAUCAGAUAGAAGGGACGGGCGGAGAGGGUUGGGAAUUUGGGAUGGGAGGGAGGAGAAGAUGCUGAUGUUUGCACUCACCGACAAGAGUCCGAAGACGAGAGUUCCGUAAAGGAAAAGCGUAGAAACAUCAGAGAGUGCAGGGAGGAUAAUAUAUAGUAAGCCAUUGGAAGUUGAAACAACCUAUAUAUUAUACAUACUAUAUAUCACUUUAAAUCAACUGAGCAAGCACUAGCGAACACCUGUUAAGGUGACGAGCGUCGGCCGAGCAAUGCUACCUUUAUUUAUUUAUUUAUUUAUUUAUUUGCGUCUUCAAAUUGUAAAUUUUAUAAAUUUUUCUAUACAGAUUAUUUUUCUAAUAAUAAUCAGCGAGAACACAAAUUAUCUUAUAUGAGUCUUAUUAUUAUCUACUUGCAAUAAAUUGAGUAUAAAGUUUGCAUCCAAAAGCUUUUGAGUGUGGAAAUAACAAUUUUUCUCAUAUAAGAUAAUUUGUGUUCUCGCUGAUUAUUAUUAUUAUUAUUAUCAUUAUACAAGAAGCGAGGUGUCAGCGGGAUAAUAGUAAUACAGAUCAGACGACGACAAAUCCUCCGUAAGAGACGGUGCAUCCGUUCGAUCAUCCGUUAUUACUCGAUAUCUGCCUGAGCUGCUGCGCCUGCCUUUCCUCGAUUUUGCGAUGAAAUUCUCGCGCGCGUGCCAGGAAACGAUCGCAAAUUCCAAUUCCUGUCGAGGAGCGAUUGUUACGGCGCCGCGCUCUUUGAGGAUCACGACCGGGCGAGCCACACUUCCGCCCAUAAAACCCGUUCUUCCCCGACAUCCAUGCUCCAACAAAUUAGCCUUAACCCAGACCUUGUCCAGCCCGCUAGUCACCACUCACCAGACGAUACCAAGUAGCAGAGUACGCAUCACACUGUAUUAUGUGGGCCGACGGAGGAAAUUAAUUAACCCUGCCAAUAUCACAAAUCUCACUCCAAAAGGUUGAACCUUUUCUUUUGUAAAAAAAAAAAUAAUAAAAAAAAUCAAUUAUUUAGAUUGUAGGUUUCAGUUUUUUAAAAAUUUGAACAGCAACAUGCAGCUAGAUUGAAAUUGAACGAGUAUGAACUAUGAAGCUCUCUCUUCUUUUCUUUUUUUUUUUACUAAUAUUUUUCCUCAGCUUUGAUUAAUAUUAAUAAUAAUGAGUGAAGGAGAAGCAGCGUUGGAUUUUUUAUUUUAUUUUAUUGAUUAUUGAUAGAUGUACGCGUGUUGUCUACUACGUCUACGGUGGAAUGAAUCCGAUGUACGCGCGUCGUCUACUACUGCGGUGGAAUGAAUCCGCAGGCCAAGGGAGACGGAGAUAUGGGUUGGGAUUAAUUGCAAUUCAGAAUUUACAGGGCUGGGCUGACUCGGGCCUUGACUGCCAAAUCUGGACGAGCAGGAAGGCAUGUUUCUCCAAGUGCGGCAUUUGACUUUGGGCCGGCCUCUUGAGCUCAGCUGCGGCCGGCAAUUGAAAUGGAUGCUCAAUAACACCGCAAAUCAAAGUUGGGCAAGAAUGAAACCAAAAUUGGCGGAAGCAUGCGGCCAGACCCAGAUUGAAACGUACGCUGUACGCGUUCUAAAAGUUUGAGCUAUUUAAUGCAACAAAUCGAAGUGUCGGGACAGCCACAAUUCUGUGAAACUUGAGAAAAAUAUGAUUUGUAUAGAGUAACGGUAUAGUUAAUCCAAAGAGAUCAUUAGUAGACUGAAAAAGAAUGAAGCUAAAAUUAGAAGUGGUGAUUUCUGGACUAGGCUAGAAGUGAUCAUUGACUAGUUCUAAAAUUUCAACACAGAAUUAGCCAAGUUACCGUUCAUCAAAGGUAUUGACAGUAUUUUUUUAUUUUAUUUUUUUUUUUGCCCAAAAAUAAUCCUUAAACAUGACAAAGUAAAUAACUUUUUUAAUCUUAGAAUUCCCUGACAGUUUUAAGUCUAGUAGACUUAAAGCUGGGAGUUACCUCAUUUUCUUUUGAGGUCUGUUUGUUUCCUCAUGCCAACUGAGUACGUAGCUGAGGGCUACAAACUAACUAUCAGCUUCUAUUUCAUCUAUACAUUACCACAUAUAAUUAAUUAAGGAAAAACUUCAAAAACCCCCCUGUGGUUUCGUAGUUUCUUACUUUGCCCCCAUGUGGUUUAAAACGUAUCAAUUGCCUCCUGUGGUUUCGUUUUUAUCUUUUCGGUAGCUUUUUCGUUAAUAUUUUAUUAAAUUAUAUAAAAAAAAUUUCAGAUAUCCAUCUAGAUUUAUCAAAUAUUCACUUUAGUACCCUUUAAUUUUAACUUUAUCACUGAUUAAAAAAAAAAUAAUAAAAUUGAUAAAAAAAAGAGAAAAAAGAAACCACAUGGGGGCAAAUUGAUACAUUUUAAACCACAGGGAGGCAAAGUGAGAAACUACGAAACCAUAGGAGAGUUUUUUGAAGUUUUCUCAUUAAUUAAUAAUCAUUAGGGUCUAUUUUUCAAAAAAAAAUAAUCAUAUGGGUCUCUCUAGGGACUAGGUACUACUAGAAAAUUAGUCAUUAGUAGCAUUUAUUUAUACUGCUAAAUGAUCAACAAAUGCUACUAAAAGUUUUAGCAGCAUAUGACACCAAAUGUUGUCUAUAUCAAUGUUGCUAAGAAUAUUAGUAACAUUAAUUAUAAAUGGAACUAGGCUACUAUGCUAUUAAUAGCACCAAGUUAUUGGUGUUAUCAAAUUUUUGACCAUUGGAUUAAGAGAUGUGUGGUCAGGAUGAUGUGGGCCCCCUAGGGGUUGAGUGGGUGGUUGGUUGAAUAGUAUGAUCUAAUGGGUGAAAAUGAUCAAAAUUGUAGAUCUAACGGCAGAAAACUGAGUAGCACUAAGUGCUUUGUGCUAUUAAUAGCAUAGUAGUCGGACUCAUUAUAAAUGCCGCCAAUAUAAAUCAAUUAGUGUCAUUAGGAAUAUGCCGCUAAAAGGGAUUAAAUGCUAAUUUUAAAUUGUUUAUUAGCGGCACAUAAAUAUAAUGCUGCUAAUACAAAUAUCUAAUUUUAGAAAUUAAAAUUUUAAAAUUUUAAUUUUUUUGAGAUGCUAUCCGCUUCAUUUAUUUCUUUUUGUCUUAAACUUUGCUUGAAAUUUAAAUCAACUAGGAUUCGAACUUGAGACCUCGAAUACAAACAACCAAGCCCUUUGCCACUUGCGCUAGCGACGAUUAGUUAUGUAUAUUUUUAUUUUUUAUAUUUUAAGUCUUCUAUUUUAAAAUUUUUAAAUUUUAAAUUUUAAAUUUUUAAAUUUAGAUACUAAAUUUAAAUUUUUAAUUUUGAAAUAUGAAAUUUUAAGUUUUAAAAUUAAUAGUUUUAAAUUUGAAAUUUGAAAUUUAAAAUAAAUUUAAAAAUUUAAACUUUAAAAAUUAAUAAUUUUAGAAUUUAAAAUUUAAAAUAUAAAUUUUAGAAUUUUAAAUUUUAAAUUAUUAGUUUAAUUUUAAAAAUUAUAUGUUUCGAAUUUUAAAAUUUAAUUUUAAAUUUCUUAAUUCUAAAUAAAAAAGGGAUAUAUUAAUAAUUAUAUAUUAAUUAGUAAUGAUAUUUAGUAACAAGUGCUGCUAGUUUAUUAUAUUUAGCGGCAUUCACUAAUUUAUGCUGCUAAUUUAUCCUAUUUUACAACAGUAAUAGUAAAUUGCUGCUAAAUAAUUAAAUUUAGCGGCAAUUAUCAAGUAAUACUGCUAAAUAUUAAUUGACAUAAUUUAAAUAAAUAUUGCGGAGCAAAUAUUGGGGCAUUUAGCAAUAAGUGCUGCUACUUUAUUACAUUUGGUGUCAUUUUUUAUAAAAUAUUAGAAACUUCGGCGGCAUUCAUUAAUUUAUGCUGCUAAUUUAUACUAUUUUGCAACAUUAAUAGUAAAUUAUUGCUAAAUUAUUUAAUUUAACGACACUUAUCAAGUAAUACUGUUAAAUAUAUUAAUUAGCGUUAUUUAAAUAACUGCUGCCGAGUAAAUGCCGCUAAAUCAUGAAUUUGUAGUAGUGAUCGAUAUCCAAUCAAAUUAUCACACUCUUCUUACAUAUUUUU